rnacentral:lncRNA from 1 species
UGAAUACUAUCUUGCCAUGAACAAAGAAGGGAAACUCUAUGCAAAGAAUGCAAUGAGGAUUGCAACUUCAAAGAACUGAUUCUGGAAAACCAUUACAACACCUAUGCAUCAGCUAAAUGGACACACAGCGGAGGGGAAAUGUUCGUGGCCUUAAAUCAAAAGGGGCUUCCUGUCAAAGGGAAGAAAACGAAGAAAGAACAAAAAACGGCCCAUUUUCUUCCCAUGGCAAUAACCUAAGCAUACAGGGUGUUUGAGAAACCAGUUUCACUCAGCAGGGAGAUUUAUUUCCAGUGGACUUCUCUCUCUCUCUCUCUCUCUCUCUCUCUCUCUCUCUCUCUCUCUCUCUAAGUAACCAAGAAAGGCUGGAAAACUACUGAAAAACCGAUCAAGCUGGACUUGCGCAUUUUUGUUUAUUUUAAAAGACUGCAUUAAAGAAAGAUUUGAAGAAUAUACACAAAAUUCAGAUUUAGUAAAAGUUGUAAAAAGUUGUAAAAGUGGUUGUACAAUCAUGAUGUUAGUGACGUGAUAUUUUUCUUAAGUUAAUUUACCCUUAAGAGUAUGUUAGAUUUGACUAUCUGAUAAUGAAUAUUUAAUAUCACUAUCUGCUUAUAAAAUGGCUGCUAUAAUAAUAUUAAUAAUGCAGAUGAUGUUAUAUAAGGUAUGUCAGACCUAAAGGCUGCUGGGACGCUUUGUCAGAUGAUCAAGCCCCAUACAAACUGUAGACGAUGAGCAGUGUUUGAAAGCUUUCCAGAAAGAACUAAACUCCACUUCAACUCUAUUCAGAAAAGUGAAUGUUCUCAACAUUUUAUUAUAGAAUACAAUCUACAGGUGGUUUUACAAAAUCAUGCCUGUCCUGAUUAACGUGAAAAAAAAUCCACUCAAAUUGGAAAGGUAUUGCUAACAGGAUGCUUUAAAAGUCUGUGUAUGAAAUAGCAAUGAUGAUGAUAAUACUGCAUUUCAUCUUGCCACAAAGGAACAUUUUAUAAUCCCUAAAAGUAAACUUCAGAAAUCUUUACAUUUUUUCAAGUAACAUCUAUCUUUUGUAUAAUUCACAUUUGGGAACACGACUUUCAGUAAUGUUCUUCCCACAAAUAAUCAUGCUUAUUUCCCUCUGUGAUUACAGCAUUAAACUCUACUUUAAGUUGUAUUUGAAUUUUAUUGUUUUGUUAUUUAAGUUUUUGUUAUUUAUAAAGAAAAAAACUUAAGAAGCUGUAUCUGUUUCAUAUGCUUUUAAUUUCAAGGGGACAACAAACCCGUCUGGCUGCACUGCAGAUGUCUCCUCCCCUGGUGGCUGACACCAAGUCUAGCACACAACACUUGGCUAGCAAGUGCUGGAUGGCAGACAAAAACGACAGGCUGCAGCCAUGCCUCCAAUAGAUGUCUCAUAGUGAACGAUACGAAUAUGUGGGAAAGAUUUCACACAACGCUCAUGCCAAUGAAUUUGGAUCAUAUAAGUAAAAGAAAUCAAAGUAUUUAGUGAGGACAUAUUUUUGAAAGUAGGCAUAUUUAAAGUUAGCAAUUUGAUCAUCUUUAGAAGUUUCUGCCAUACAAAAUAUGCCAACUUUGAAAUGUCAAGAGUAAAACCCCAAAUAGAGGUUGUAGUCAGGGUACAGGGCCCUAAACACCUUGAGGCUUCAGGUCAGGCCACAGAUAACAGGCUUAAAAAACACAUGAACUUACUCCAUAGUUCUGCCACCAGUGGAUGCUGACAGAAAUGUAUAUAUACUUAUGAAGGGAAGUGCAACAUUUAUUUAAAUUGUUGGUAUAUUAAUUAAUGUGAUAUCAACUUCAUAGUGGUUGUCAUUAAAGUUUCUUUAUAUUACAUAC